CCAACUGGGAUCGAUCCCACAGAUGACCCACUUCCCAAGCAAAGUCAGCAGGUGUUUCAGCAGCAUGGAAGUAUCUUGGAGAAUUAUGAGACAGUGGAUGAGAAUAAGGAUGGCCAUCAUCACAA